ensembl:lncRNA
UUAACCUGCAUGACCUGAUCCUCUUUCCAAACAGCACCCUGCCCCCCGAUAAUACCCAUUCCAGGAGAGUUCUUUGUUUCCUUAGUCACUCAUUUGUUCCUUCUUUCAAUCGAUGUCCGUUGACUUCCUCCUAUGUGCCGGGUCUUGGAGGAACUGGGAUGCUUUGAGUAUAAAGAAGUAGAUAGCUCUCAACAACCUGCUGGCCUUUCAGGGGUUAUCACUGACGUUCUAACUUGAUUCUGCCUCUUCUAAUUAUGAGAACAGGGCUAAGUCCCCACCUAUCCCAUUAUUGAUGAUGCUACAUGUAGGUCCUUAUUGAUUAUCUAGUUUAUACAUGCUGCUGCUGCUGCUGCUAAGUUGCUUCAGUCGUGUCCGACUCUGUGCGACCCCACAGACGGCAGCCCACCAGGCUCCCCUGUUCCUGGGAUUCUCCAGAAUCCUGAUUAUCUUGAGGACUGCAAUGUUACCAGCUAAAACAUGUAUUUCAUAGCCUCUCUUAUAAAGAGAGGUAAGUAAAUUCUGGCCAAUGAGAUAGAAGUCAAGAUUUUUGGUGUGGAUCCCGGGAAAGCUUCUUAAAUGGUAGAUUGAUUCAAAUGGCUUUUGGCCUAUUACACACCCUCAUUCCCAUCUUGAACUUGGACCUGAUGGCUGGUACUGAACAGCCAUUUUGCAGCAAUGAGACUUUAUUUCAUGAACUAAGGAUGACGGAGCUAAAGGAUAGAGGAAGGAUGGCACAUUAAUAAAAUCGUGGAGUUGCUGUACCCGUUUUGGACUGUCUAAUUUUAGACGGUUUACACA